CGCGCCGAUCAGCAGCAUCCGACGGCGGCCGACGCGGUCGCCGAGCGUUCCCAUCGUGAUCAGCGCUCCCGCGACCAUGAAUCCGUAGAUGUCCGCGAUCCAGAGGAGUUGGGCGCUGCUCGGCUCGAGGUCAGCGCUCAGUUGCGGCAGGGCCAAGUGCAGCACGGUCAGGUCCAUCGCGUAGACCAGACAUGCGAGAAGGAGCACCGCGAGUCCGAUCCACUCGCGACGGCCUGCCCUUUGAGCUUCGGUUGUUG
rnacentral:misc_RNA from 1 species